GAGUUUGAUCCUGGCUCAGGACGAACGCUGGCGGCGUGCCUAAUACAUGCAAGUCGAGCGAGCUUGCCUAGGUGAUUUUAGUGCUUGCACUAAAUGAAACUAGAUACAAGCGAGCGGCGGACGGGUGAGUAACACGUGGGUAACCUGCCCAAGAGACUGGGAUAACACCUGGAAACAGAUGCUAAUACCGGAUAACAACACUAGACGCAUGUCUAGAGUUUGAAAGAUGGUUCUGCUAUCACUCUUGGAUGGACCUGCGGUGCAUUAGCUAGUUGGUAAGGUAACGGCUUACCAAGGCAAUGAUGCAUAGCCGAGUUGAGAGACUGAUCGGCCACAUUGGGACUGAGACACGGCCCAAACUCCUACGGGAGGCAGCAGUAGGGAAUCUUCCACAAUGGACGAAAGUCUGAUGGAGCAACGCCGCGUGAGUGAAGAAGGGUUUCGGCUCGUAAAGCUCUGUUGGUAGUGAAGAAAGAUAGAGGUAGUAACUGGCCUUUAUUUGACGGUAAUUACUUAGAAAGUCACGGCUAACUACGAGCCAGCAGCCGCGGUAAUACGUAGGCGGCAAGCGUUGUCCGGAUUUAUUGGGCGUAAAGCGAGUGCAGGCGGUUCAAUAAGUCUGAUGUGAAAGCCUUCGGCUCAACCGGAGAAUUGCAUCAGAAACUGUUGAACUUGAGUGCAAAAGAAGAGAGUGGAACUCCAUGUGUAGCGGUGGAAUGCGUANAUAUAUGGAAGAACACCAGUGG
rnacentral:rRNA from 1 species